rnacentral:rRNA from 1 species
UACGUAGGGUGCGAGCGUUAAUCGGAAUUACUGGGCGUAAAGCGUGCGCAGGCGGUUUUGUGAGCCAGAUGUGAAAUCCCCGAGCUUAACUUGGGAAUGGCGCUUGAAACUACGGUGCUGGAGUGUGGCAGAGGGAGGUGGAAUUCCACGUGUAGCGGUGAAAUGCGUAGAGAUGUGGAGGAACACCGAUGGCGAAGGCAGCCUCCUGGGCCAACACUGACGCUCAUGCACGAAAGCGUGGGGAGCAAACAGG